GAAAUGCGAUACGCAAUGCGAAUUGCAGAACCGCGAGUCAUCAGAUCUUUGAACGCAAGUGGCGAUAGCUUCGGCUAUCAUGUUUAUUUCAGUGUGCCCGGUUAAUUACAUCAUAGAAUAUAAUGUGAUUGAAGAAUAUUCUCUCACAAAAUAUGGAAUAAUGUCAAUGAAGACUCUAAACGAACUAGUCACUAACAGGUGAUAAUCGUUUAAGAGAUUGGAAUUGGUGAAUCAUUAUUCAAAAAUUAUAUUAUCCAAUUAUGACACCUGAAAUAAGCAAGAAUACCCGCUGAACUUAA
rnacentral:misc_RNA from 1 species